GAGAGGUCACACCCGUUCCCAUGCCGAACACGGUAGUUAAGCUCUCCAGCGCCGAUGGUAGUUGGGGGUUUCCCCCUGUGAGAGUAGGACGUUGCCGGGC
rnacentral:rRNA from 1 species